rnacentral:sRNA from 1 species
AUUUUCUUCAUUUCUUU